rnacentral:rRNA from 1 species
CCUAAUACAUGCAAGUAGAACGCUGAAGAGAGGAGCUUGCUCUUCUUGGAUGAGUUGCGAACGGGUGAGUAACGCGUAGGUAACCUGCCUUGUAGCGGGGGAUAACUAUUGGAAACGAUAGCUAAUACCGCAUAACAAUGGAUGACUCAUGUCAUUUAUUUGAAAGGGGCAAAUGCUCCACUACAAGAUGGACCUGCGUUGUAUUAGCUAGUAGGUGAGGUAACGGCUCACCUAGGCGACGAUACAUAGCCGACCUGAGAGGGUGAUCGGCCACACUGGGACUGAGACACGGCCCAGACUCCUACGGGAGGCAGCAGUAGGGAAUCUUCGGCAAUGGGGGCAACCCUGACCGAGCAACGCCGCGUGAGUGAAGAAGGUUUUCGGAUCGUAAAGCUCUGUUGUAAGUCAAGAACGAGUGUGAGAGUGGAAAGUUCACACUGUGACGGUAGCUUACCAGAAAGGGACGGCUAACUACGUGCCAGCAGCCGCGGUAAUACGUAGGUCCCGAGCGUUGUCCGGAUUUAUUGGGCGUAAAGCGAGC